CUCCUUUGACGUUAGCGGCGGACGGGUGAGUAACACGUGGAUAACCUACCUAUAAGACUGGGAUAACUUCGGGAAACCGGAGCUAAUACCGGAUAACAUAUUGAACCGCAUGGUUCAAUAGUGAAAGGCGGCUUUGCUGUCACUUAUAGAUGGAUCCGCGCCGUAUUAGCUAGUUGGUAAGGUAACGGCUUACCAAGGCAACGAUACGUAGCCGACCUGAGAGGGUGAUCGGCCACACUGGAACUGAGACACGGUCCAGACUCCUACGGGAGGCAGCAGUAGGGAAUCUUCCGCAAUGGGCGAAAGCCUGACGGAGCAACGCCGCGUGAGUGAUGAAGGUCUUCGGAUCGUAAAACUCUGUUAUCAGGGAAGAACAAAUGUGUAAGUAACUGUGCACAUCUUGACGGUACCUGAUCAGAAAGCCACGGCUAACUACGUGCCAGCAGCCGCGGUAAUACGUAGGUGGCAAGCGUUAUCCGGAAUUAUUGGGCGUAAAGCGCGCGUAGGCGGUUUUUUAAGUCUGAUGUGAAAGCCCACGGCUCAACCGUGGAGGGUCAUUGGAAACUGGAAAACUUGAGUGCAGAAGAGGAAAGUGGAAUUCCAUGUGUAGCGGUGAAAUGCGCAGAGAUAUGGAGGAACACCAGUGGCGAAGGCGACUUUCUGGUCUGUAACUGACGCUGAUGUGCGAAAGCGUGGGGAUCAAACAGGAUUAGAUACCCUGGUAGUCCACGCCGUAAACGAUGAGUGCUAAGUGUUAGGGGGUUUCCGCCCCUUAGUGCUGCAGCUAACGCAUUAAGCACUCCGCCUGGG
rnacentral:rRNA from 1 species